CUGGCCAUCGUCGUGCUCUUGUUCUCCGUGGCUCUGCUGAUAUUCUGCAAGAAAAGAUCAUCUAAACCCAAAGAACAACCUGAGGAAACAGAGUAUGCUAAUUUCACAGAGGACAGCCGACUGUAUGAUGAGAUCAGAGAGGGCAACGG